rnacentral:misc_RNA from 1 species
GAUGAAGAACGUAGUGAAAUGCGAUAAGUAGUGUGAAUUGCAGACUUUAGUGAAUCAUCGAAUCUUUGAACGCACAUUGCGCCCCUUGGUAUUCCAUUGGGCAUGCCUGUUCGAGCGUCAUUUACACCCUCAGGCCCCCGGGCCUGGCGUUGGGGAUCGGCGGAGCCCCCCGUGGGCACACGCCGUCCCCCAAAUGCAGUGGCGGUCCCGCCGCAGCUUCCAUCGCGUAGUAGCUAACACCUCGCGACUGGAGAGCGGCGCGGCCACGCCGUAAAACACCCAACUCUUCUGAAGUUGACCUCGAAUCAGGUAGGAAUACCCGCUGAACUUAAGCAUAUCAAUAAGCGGAGGA